CCUGAACUUUGGACACACAGAGGGCCAAGUGCUGAGAGACCCCAACCAUAAAAUGAGAGGUAUGCCUCCAUCAUCCCCAGCUUUCUUCCAGGUGCGAUGUUCAACCCUGGCUUCUUGCUCCUGUUCUGAGGGUAUCAGCUCUUUGAUGGGUAGGAAGUUGGCCUAGGGAAUUUCUACUUCAAGGAAAAUUCCAUAUCUUUGGGACUUUCCUUCUAUCUCUUGGACAGAAGCCAUCAUUUGAGGGAUUUACAAUCCUCCCAUGGUGCACCUCACCAACAGUCCUCUGUUUCUUCACACCUGUGUUUCUUCCUCUCCAAAGACACUUGUCUCUCACUGCCCCCAAUUCAGCUCCCACUUCUGGGCAGAAGCAUCUUCUAAUGCUAACAUCCCCUGGUAGGCCUUAUAUUACCAGGUGGAGUAGCAUUUCAGUAGGAUCCAAUGGGAGAGCAGAAGUCUCAGGCUGAGGGUGGAAAUCCAGGCACAAUGACAGUUGGGAGGAGAGAUCCAGAUUUCAGUCACCUACCUUGAGGGUCUCUGAGAUGCUCCAGCACAUUGUAGAUGCAGCUGCCAGCUUACAUUGCUUGACCAGGAUGCUGUGGUGUCCACACACUCUUCGUUUCUCAUCUGCAUCCUGCCUUCAAAGUUCAGAGGGGCCUGGAAUGGUCUCAUAGGGAGUGGGGUUCCUGUUGCCAUGGUUGCCCCAUGGGUCACAAAGCUCAGUUCAAGGCUGAUAGGACUCUUGGGGAAGCUUGUUGCUAGGCUUGCUGACUGCCACAGCCUGGACUGCAGAUCUACCCCUGGUGGUGUGAAGGGUGUGUACAAGUCUUUCUGGCCUUGGGGCGGGGUUUGUGUAUGUGUUCUAGAAGCUCGGGUCUGGAGGGGACUUUUAUUGGCAUCAAGUGGCCUGUUCUCUUGUGGACUUCUCUGCAAUGUCAGUCACUGUCUCCCUUUGGCAUGGACAGGUAUAUGGGGGGUUAGUAAGACACGAGGAUAACUGUAUUCAAGCUCACUUUCACUACUUUAGGAUUCAAGACAAAAUCACUCUCUUAACCUCAGGCUUCUUCUGUAUUGUUGCUUCUAACAAUACAGAAAUACCCCAAUACAGGGCCUGACAAACAGCACACAUGGAGCCUCACUAUCCUGCUCUCAUCAUGUUUUUAGGGGGAGCAAAUAGCACUACUGGAAUGAUGUUGUCAACAGCCAAUCAGAAAGCUCAUGGACUGAUCCAACAAAAGGUGAGAUUUUGAAGGACCAGCUGGUGUCCUGGGACGUGGGAUAAACUUAUAAUAGGUGCACCAUUUUGUCUUCUAAAUUGUCUUCUAGCCAAAUUUCAGGAGCCACAUCAAGUUCUCUGGAGCAUUGGAACUUUUUGUUUGUAACUCAAAAUUCAACCUUACUGAGGCCUGGCAAAGGGUCUUCUCCUGGUGUCCUCGUCCAAGGGCUGAGACCACAAGGGGAAUUAUGAAAAGUACAGGAAGUUCUUACCCACUUGUCCUCAUCCUGAUGUGUCUUAAGGAGAAACCCAGUGGCUCGCAGGAGCACUGUCUCAUCUUUGCGUCUUCUGCUAGGAGAAUGAAGACAAGAUUUCUGGCAUCUCAUCAAAAAUUAGUAGACUUUAAUUUGGUAACAAGUGCAUCAGCCAGAUGAUAUGGGAUGAAAUAUAAAGUGUAGAAUAUCCUAUGCUGGCAUGGAGACAAUAUGUUGUGUAGGAGUGUGUGUCCAUACAUAUGUGUGCAUGUACAUAUGUUUCCUCUUGGGUCAGUGAAUUUUAGAUGCCAAACCCAGUAGAGUUAAUGGGUCUUGAUGCACGUUGGUCAAUCAGAUAUGUUCUCUCUCCCCAUGUAUACCUAUAUAUUUUAUAUAGCUUCAUACAUUACAUAUGUGUCCCUUGCUGGUUUUCCACAGGGGCUCAGUGAAGGGCCUGGGUUUCCAGAGAAAGCCAGUGGAACACCCCAGCCAGAAGGUCACAGAGGUCUCCUUAGGGGAAGAGAACCCAGAUCAUGUACCUUUUUUUCUCAGCAAAAGGAGCAGGAAGUUAGGAACUUGAAACAGGGGUGGAGAUGCUACAGAGCCAGAAAUUGGAGCUUCUGGAGUUAUCCUUUAUGGGGAAGAUGGCAUCACUGGCUUGAAGGUGCAACUCUGGAACCUGGAAUACAGCAAGCUUGAGCAAAAGAAAAUCCAGAACUAGCAGGAAAAUACCAUCAAGCAGCUAAAGCUAAAAGUUGAGGGAUGAGCCCUGUUGGGGGGCCAAUACACUGUCAUUUGCUGGCUGAAAUGUAGAGUGCUGUCAUAUGGCACCUCCUCUGCUGCAUCUCAUUCUUCCAUGGCUUUGUAUUACCUCAGAAAAGCUCUUAAACCUGAAGUUCAGAACUUUCAUGAUCUAGACCUGUCCUGCCAUCCUGCAAGGUCAAGGUUCUCUAGUAUUUUUGUAAGGGAAAUGUGAGUUCUGUCCCCAUUCUAGAGAGAUGGGAGUUGAAGUUUGGAGAUACAGAAAACAUGGCAGGGGUGAGAUUUGGAAGAGGACUCUUCUGACUCCUGAGAGCCUUGGAUAAUGACUUUGGGCACAGCCUCCAGGAAGACUUGCAUGCCCAUCUUUGAAAAAUAGAAACUAACAAAAAAGUCUAAGGAACUAGUCAGGACUAUCCAAUACUCUAGAGCAGCACUCUCAACGAAGCAGAUGAAUAUAUUUUUUCUGCUGGCUUAUGUUUACAUCUACCUCAUUCCAAUAAGCAUAGGAAACAGCUUCUAAAACAUAUGCAUAAUAAUAAUAAUAGUAAUAAUAAUAAUAAUAAUAAUAAUAAUAAUAAUAAAAUUCUAAGUAAAACAUUCUGGACCAUAAAAGUAUGAAUAAAAUUAGACACUAAAAAGAGGGUUGGGACAGUGAACCAAUAUGUGAUAGGCAAAACAUAUGUUCUUACACAUAUAACAGUUUUUUCUCUAAAAUUCCUGGUGGCCAGAGAGAAAAAGGAAAUGUGAGGUCUACAUUUUUUCCUUAUCCCCAAGAUAAAAACCCAAAACAAACAAAACAGAUUUUCAAGAAGUGACUUCUGAGGCUCAGUACAAAAAGCAUUUUUUCAUGUACAAUUUGCAAAAGGUGAUUAUGUUUAAAAAGGCUGGGAGCCUCUUAUGCAACAAAAUGUGACUGAGCAACAUGAAUAUGUAAAGCAGUUGACCUCUAAGCAGCUCCAUGAAAGCCAUGGUGCCAGUUCAUGCUUCUCACCCACUCUUACUGUAUCAGGCAGGACAGAGCUUCCUGAGUGGGCAUGUUGGGUCUGAAGAUUCUUGGACUCUCAUUAAGGAGAGUGAGGAAAACCGAGCUCAUAUUUAUUCAACCAUAGGCAUUGAGUUCUUCUUUGUCAGAUGCCAUGUGGAUGUUGAGGAUGCAGAGGCAGAAAGGAUCUCUGCUUUCCCCAAAGUAACAGUCCCGCUAGAUGUCAUAAGAAUGUUGAACUUGCAGAAUGUAGUCUUGGCAGAAGGGUUGGGGAAGAGGUCAGGAAGAUGCCCUGGAGGAAAUGAUACUUACCUGCUGCCCCUGGCCUGCAGGGACAGCUGAACUGAAGGUUGCUCAUGUGAAUUUCCAAGGACAUCAAAUAAAAGGUAGGCACACAUUUUACCUUUAAACAAACUUCAGGAUGGCUCCUCUGCUCUCAGGAUCAAACUCCUCAAAUGGGAGAGUGAGGGAAUUUCAUGAGAGGCUGGACAGAGAGAGAGAGAGUAAGCAAAUUCAGAUGUUGGCUUUUAUUGGGAGGGCCCUCAUUCUUAGAAAGUUCCAUCCAAAAAAAGGUAAAAAAAGGUAAGAAGGUGGGAGUUAGAAAGAACAUGUGAGAGAAAUUUGACCCAAGGGCUGUAGGGUGAUGCCUAAGUUUGAAGACACGUCCUCAAACUUCCAGGACCAGGGCAAUGUCCAAGUUACCAUGAGAUGUAGUGAAAGUAAAAGCCUCUCUGCUCUGGAUGGAAAACACAAAUCAUUCAGAGUGACACCCCACAUUUACUGAAGCAGAAAGCUGAGGGAUGAGUCAGAAUUGGUAGAAUGCUAGAGUUCCAUUCGGGGCAAAGAGCUUGUGCAAAAACCUGAUGGCCAGAAAAUCAUGUGACAUUUAACAAGUCCUAAUAUGGCCAUGUCCAGAUGGAGGCUUUGAGGCAGCUUGGUGUCUGUAUGACCUUACAGAAGGCCCUGUAUUCCCAAGACAUGAAUCUCCUCCCAUGUGCAGCAAAAUAAGGAACUUUUUCAAUCCCCUAAUUGCCUCUAAUCCAGCUCUGAAACUGUGAACAUCCCUGCAGAAUGUGGAAUGUCUGGGGAGUUAUGAAAGGGACAUGGAGGACCAUACAGCAUCAUGUAGCAACCCACUGUUCUGUAAAUGAACAGGAUCAUUGCAGAGGAAGGAAUAAAACAAGCACUUUUGUAAAUUGCAUUGGUUCUUUGAGACACCACCAGGGCUCCAUUCAGCUCUCAGAAGCAGAAAGGUUCCACCAUGACUCAGGAAAGUGGAAGGUAAAGCCCCUUCUUAGUUUCCCGCCCUGGACCACCAGAGGGGAGGCUGACUUACACUUUCAUCUGUCUUUAGCUUAAACCCUAGCUUCACACUUCAUUGUGUCCUUGGAGACCUCUUGUGGAUAUUUAUUGAUUAACAGCAUUUUUUCCAGGGAUUUUUAUGUUAACUCAUAUGAGCUUGACAUAAAUGAUACUGCAGAUAUCAGAAAUGUCCCAGAGGCUUGGAAAAAAAUGAAAAAGAAAUAUUCUAUUAACUUGAGUAGGCUCCUCAUUUUAUAUUCUUCUCAUAACCUUUGUCAUUUUAAAGGUGGGAAGGAAGGGGGUUAAUAUUUAAAGUGUGCCUACAAUGCUGGGGACUGUAAUGUGGUUCUGAUGUCCAGGAUCAUUUUUACUCUUCGCCAGUCCUACAUAGAGAUGAACAUUCUCAACAUUUUGAAAGACUAAGAUUGUGUUUUUCCAACUUAAUUUUCAUGGUAAGGCAGCAGUUUUGAACUUAUGGAGCAGGGAUGAGCUUGGGUUCAUCUUAAGAAUGUUAACAAGUGUUCUGAGGCUGCAUCUAACCUCAGGUGGAGAAUGUGAUGGGCUCCAGAUGUCUGUUUUAAGCAUAGAUAGGGAGGGAGAUUUGGGACUAUUUAUCUAACAUUUCCAGGGCUCCCAGGGAGAUAACUUGACUCUCUUCAGUGCAUUAUAAUGAAAAAUGUGAUGGGGAUGCCACAGAUAGCAGGGAGAGGCAAUGGAGAGGCACUGGGCCACCCUCAUGUCCAGUACUUGCUUGUUGCCCCCAGCUCUGCCAGUGGUUUGAGCUGGAAAUAAAGAGGAUAAAUCAGAUGCAUCAGAAAGACCAUGAAGACCAAGAGGAGGAGCUAGAAGUCCAUCAGUCCUGCCAGAAAUAGGUUUGUGAACCACCACACACCUGUGCUCAGGGUCCUGGCAGGUUACACCAGGCUGCCCUCAUCCCUGCAGUUGAGGAGUAGAACCGGGCCUGGGGUCUGGGGACAGGCUCUUUCUAAAGCCUCCUGAGACUUUGGAUCCCUAGGUAAAUUCAAGGGUAUAGUCCUGGAAGUAUCUAUAUUCAAUAUGAGACUGGAACUUCCAGAAGUCUCUGGGACAUUCCAGCAUCAUCACCCCAAGAUCACUACCAAGAGCCCAUUAUGCCUUAUGACUUUUGUGGGGAAGGAAUUAUUGCUUUUAAUAAUGCUCCCCCUAACUAUUUCCCCUGCUGCUCAAAUCAUUUCAGCUGAGGGUGGUGAAGCACAUAAAGCUCCUCAGUGGGUUAUGGGAAGCUUGAGAUUGAAAACUCACAAAUAACUCUGGCAGGAUGCCCUUCCAUCCAGAGAAAGCCAAUACUGGUGACAGCUUGAAACUCCCAGAGUAAACACUAAAGGGAUCUCUAGGUAUGUUAGGUGUCUGUGUUGGUUUGGACUGGUCAAAGGUGAACAGUUUUACACUGUGAAAUCAGUAAAAGGCCUAGAAUUGUCCCCAGAACAGCUAAGCAAUGAAGACAAACUCAAAAAAUUGGAGAGUCUUGAAAUCAAAAUUCAUAGAAAGCAGCCCAAACAUGAAUAAAACUAGAGUUUUUGUGAGCACAUGAGCUGUUUUUUUUUUUUUUUUUGGUUUUGUUUUGUUUUUCUGGCUUCCAUACGGAGUGAAAAGACUGAGUCCACAGAGUACCAGCCCCUCCCUGAACCCCUCAGCCAGAGGCAGGGUAGUACCUGUGCUGUAUUCUCAGCAACUGUCCCCUCCAGUGUUCCCAGAGGAAGUACAGGAGAAUACAUAAGACAUGAUUCCAAAUCUGCCACCACCUGCAGAUGCUCAUCCAGGAAAGUUGCCUCCCAGAAGUUUCCCUUCUGUCCCCACAGGCCCAACCAGGACAUCAGACAGCUCUCUGACAGAACUUGGGCUGGGGCAUGGGCAGAGGUAUUUCUGCCAUUGCAAGAACUCCUAGCUCUCAAAACUUACACCAUUCACUGUCACCAGAACAAGCCUAGACAGAAAUGCAAGCUCAAACCAUCACUUCCACAGGAGAGGACAGAGUGUCCUAUCCCAGGUGCAGGGAGUGAGAUCCUGGUGCAUACCUGCAGGACCAGUCCUGUGCUGCACCAUCUAUUGCCUAUCGCCUCACUUCCUACUUCAGAUCCCCCUGAGUGGCUCCCACCAAUAACCCUACUUCACCCUUGGUGGCACAUGAGGUACUGAUAUUGGGACAUGAGCAAAGGCCCACUUUGCCAAAGGAUAGCACCCCAAGGUGGCACAGGCAGCAUGUUACUGUACCAGAGGUGCAGGUACCAUUAGGCAAACACCCAUGUAUGUCACCCUAAUCCCCACCUGCUCCAUACCCCAAAAGUCUCUCUCUACCAGCUAGCCAGAGGCUGCUCAGCUCUUCCACUGCCCCCCACCUCCACCAAACACAAGUCCACCAGUGUGGGCAUUUUGCCCACCCCUGGUGAGGGGCCAUGCUGCACCAACCUGAGGUGAGGGAUCCCUGCCAUAGCCAUAGAUGCUGACCCUCAAACUCAACAUCUACAACCCUUUAAAAAUGAUUGUGAAACCUUAAUGAGUCAGUUGGUGGACCAGUGAGAUCUGGACCCACAGCCCCAUUGCCAGAGCUCCAUAGUUCCACCAGAACCCACACUCGCACUAGGCACACAGUUCCCCUGCUUAUAUCUCCUGCAUCUGGUGCACACACACACAGACAUUGAAAGUUCAUGUGUGUCCCUUCCCUGCCUAGUGCCAUGUGUCAAUGUUUUUCUGCAGUGCCCAGGGAUUGUCUAUUCUUUCUCUUCAAAGCUGUGUCCUGGGAACAGGUCUGUUAUUACUGUUAUGCCUGAAGCCAUGUUAGAAGCAGCAGAAGGACCCUUUGUGCUCUUCUUUGUGGUUCAUGAAUCCCGCCUUCCAUAACCAUUGCCAUGGGUACUUCCCAGGUCAAGCUUUGUUCCUUACCCCUGCUCUGGGCUCUAGGUGUCAGGGACCUGUCAAAAGGGUCCAGCAUGAAGCCUGCUCACAGCACCACUGAAUUCCCUACACUGUUUGGCCACUCUGGGCUGCCUGGACCUGCAGAAACAAUCGCAGGUCAUGCUGCUGCCAUCCUGAAAUUGUACAUUGUCAGUUGAGAAAAGUUGCCUCCCAGGUGCUUGUCUCAGGACCAUCAGACUCUUAAAUCAUUUCUGUGAGACAUGGACAUUACCUCCAUCUUCUGCAUGCUUGUUCUCCUGAAGAAGAUGCUGCUGUCCACUGUACCUAUCAUUGAUUCCUGUAGCUUAGACCACAAACUCAGCAAACAGAUGCAUUUUAUGGCACAGGAGAAUGAAGUUGCUCCUUGCCAGCUUGCAGCACCAUGGGCUACCCAAGAACCCUGCCCAGAGAAGCCUGGAAAUAGUGGUCAAGGGGUGGCUGAGCAAGCAGAAGACCCUGCAGAUAAAGAACAACAGAGGGGGAGCCCCUGUGUCACUGGAGGAACACAACCAGCCAUUAGGCCCUUGGUGGCCCACAGUCGCCUGCAUUCCUUUGUGCCCAGGCCUGGGUCCUGCAGAAAAACCUCUGCACCCAAAGUUCCCAAGACAGAGCUAAGAGUGAGCAUUCCCCUCCCCCAGGCCUACUGUAUGAGUUCCUGUUCCAAGAGAAAUGCCAACAUCAGCUCCUCCAGCUCCACUUAAGGUCUCCUAACCCUGAAGAGGAGGGCUUCAGGCCCAUCCAACUUGGAGCUGCAUCUGGGAUGCUGAUGCUCUUCAUCCCCAGGGAUUCCCCUGAAGAAGGCACAGUGUGAGGAAGUGGCAGAAGGCCAGAUGGGGUAGCCAUUAUAGAGGAAGAAGUGCUCAUCCAUGGGGGACAGUGGUAGGCUACCAAUAUUAAUGUUUCCUCUGCUGCCACAACACCAGGGAAACCUCUGAUGCUGCCAUCAUCUCAACAACUCACCUGUCCAGUCACCUCUGAGGACUUAGACGAGAAAAAGGAGAAAGCUCUACAUCACAUCAACUGCCUUCUGAUGGUUGAGACCCAGGUCACCUGGGAUAGCUGUAAUAUGACCUAUGAAGCCCCUAUAUGAGCCCCUUGUACAUGGGGAGGGUCCAGGCCUCUGGCUAUACUGGGCCUCAGCUAGACCUUUCCCCAACACCCCAGCACCUCCACUAUGGCAGCCUCCACCCAUAUGUGGGUGGGCAAUGCUCUUUCCUCCCAGAGACAUCCUUCAACCUCCAAACUCUGCAUCCCGUUCUUCCCCAGCCUGCCAAUUGCUGCUUUGGACCUUCCUCCCAGCCCCUCUCCCUGCACAUUGGCAGGCUUGGCUCCAUGGCCAGCAGCUCCCUUUGGGGUUACCCUCAUGAACACUAUAUGCCUUCAUGCCCUCCAAUGUGAACGUCUAGAGCGUUCGGGUCCCUGGGUAAGGGUCGCGAAAUAACCAGGACACAGGGGAUACAGAGCAAAGGCAGCAAUUGCAACUGCAUGCUGAGGUUUAUUUGCAAGUUCCUUUUAUCUACUUCUUGUAACAAAGCAAGCAAUUCUUCAAUAUCACGUUACCCACAUUGCCCAAAUAUCAUGCCUCAGCGGAUACACAGAGCUAAAUUCAGAUCGUUCCUGUUUAGUUGGUAAGUACCCUCUUAAAGUUCUUUGUAGACAUUAUCUAAUCCCCUGAGGAUGCAUUUUUUUCUUUAGAAUGUACUGUUCCCAGGAUAAGUAUGCAGGAAGCUUCUUCCUCUUGGCCAAACCAUGCAGAACUUGUGACUUGCGAUAAGGGGAAGAGAACUUUUCCUCCUCCUAACUGAGGUUUGCCUCAGCUGACCUAAAUCACAACCACAGCUCUUGCAAAAUGUCAGGCCUGAGGGAGCUAAACUCUGCACACUCAAACCCCAACACUCCAAUCUGGAGCCUCCAUCUAGUUCAGGUUGGAUCUCCCUCCCCUCACAUCAUGGCCCAGACCCCAGCAGAACCCAAAGCACCUUUCAAUUAGAGAGCUCCAUCCAGGCAGCUUGAAGGGUGUGGCAACAAGCUCCACACAGGAAGCAGCCUCUCAUCCCUGGAGUCAUGAUCCCACCAAUUCCUGGGGUUCAUGAUGAGAAAAGCACAGAGCCCCCACCUUUGUCAGCUGUUAGUAGUUUGGGCACGUGGGAGCUCCAGGUCCUGGGCAGUCCAAUUCCCACUCUUGACAGGAGGUCCCACAACCUUGUGCAGCCCAAACCACUCAGGCCUUGGAAUGGCAAACACAAAAAUCCCACUGUGGGUGCACAUGCUAGCACACAGAUGCAUUCUGCUGACAGCCAGGCUUCCAGGCCCACUGGUGCAUCUAGAGCAUCAGCCUCUGCCUCUGUAGCUGCCACCCAGAGGCUAGAGCCUGCAGCUAGUAUUUGUCCCAAGAAUAGGCAGCCCCAAUCAACAUGGGGCAACCAAGCUUCAUCCCCCUCAAGGAUUCCAGUGCCAGUGACCCCAAUGGCAACUGGGAAUACACACUUGUUCCAAGAUCUGACAUCUCCCAUCGCAGUAUUUAGCACCUGCUCACAAAGUAAAGGGACCCCUCAAAGCAGAGAGCACCUUGGGGUAAGCUUGGGACAAAACACCAACAGUGCCCCUAGCCAAAGCAUCACCAUGGCACCCAAGAAACACAUGACAAAGAGCAAGCAGGGGCAAGGAAACAUGCGUGUUUCUACCCUGAGUGCCAUCCCCAAAAACCUGAACAUAGAAACCCCUAUGCUUACCUCAGGGGACAAGCACCACCCCCAGAAAGGCUACCUCUAGUUGCUCAUCUGUGCCUGAGAUAUCAAUGGGUUCUGGGAGCCCUGACUUUUUCCCAAAUCUAAUAUCUCACCCUAGGUCCAUGUGCAUCUCCUCCCAAAGAGGAGGGACUCCAAGCAGCAGAAAGCCACAUGGGGCAAGCUUGGGACAGAACACCUCCAUUGUCCCUUAAGCAAAGCACCACAAUAAGGACCAAGGGACAUGAGUCAAAAUGAAAACUAGGGUUACCAACCACUGGUUUUCCUACAGUUGCUGCCUUCUCUCAAACCUGACCAUGCAGGACCCCUUAAGCUUUUUUGGAGGAACCAACACCAGCUCUAGAAAGGCCACCUGUAUUUGUAAGUCAGUCUGUUUACCAUCAAUGGGAACGGGGAGCCCAGACUUCUCCCCAGGUUUGACAUCUCUCAUGGAAGAAAUGAGCAUCUGCUCAAAAAGUAGAGAGAACCUAGAAAAUAGAGAGUACUACAGGGACAGAACACCUUCAGUGGCCAUAGCAGAGCACCACAAUGGGGACCAAGGAACAAAAGUCAAAGUGUAAACCAGGGCAAGAAAUGAUGGGUGUUCCUACCCCGAGUGCCAUCCCCCAGAGCCUGCUCACACAUAAACCCUUAAGCUCACCUCAGGGACCAGCAAAUACCCCCAGAAAUGUUAUCUCUAGUUGUUCAUCUGUCCUUGUGACAUGAAUGGGAUAUAGAAGCCCAGACUUGCUCCCAGAUCUCAUAUCUGCCUUUGAGGUCAUAUACAUCUCUUCCCAAAAAGGUCUGACCCCAAGCAACAGACAUCCACAUGAGGCAAACUUAGGACAAAACACCUCAAUGAGCACCUCGAUGGGACCAAGGGACAUGAGGCAAAGCACAAGCCAGGGAAAGCAAUCACUGUUUUUAUACAGUUGCUAGCAUCACCCAAAGCCUGCCCACACAGAAACAAUUAAACUCUCCUGAGAGAAUCAGCACCACACAGAGAAAGGCCACAUCUAGUUGUCUAUGCCUGUGCUAUCAAUGAGAUCUGAAAGCCCACACAAGCUCCCAGAUCUCAUGUCUGCCUUUGGGCCAUGUACAUUUCCUCCCAAAGAGGAGAAAUGCAAAGCACCAUACAGCACUAAGGAUCUACCUAGGGCCUCAAUGCCUGCAGCCUCACUAACUAGAUCACCCCCAUGGUGACCACCUUACACAGGACAAGGAAAAACUGUUGGAUCCAUGGGGGCCACUUAUUUAGUGCUAAAAGUCUCCCCCUUGCAGAAACCCCCAAGUCCACCUCGGUUACCAAUAGCACCACGAGCAAGACUGCAUAUAUCUACAUGAAAUACUGGCCUCUUACCCUGGAAGCUAUGCCUCUCAUGGGUACAUAGUGAAUAGUAACCUGGCAUUUAGGCCCCCAUCUUUAUCUGGCCAGGGCUUUCCUGGAAAGAGGAGCACUGGAGGCAUGCCCCAGAUCCUCCUCUUCCAGAUCGGGACCCACUCCUGUGGGGUCUAGGAAGAAAAUGUUACCCUAAGCAAACAUCUACCUUCUCCCUUGCAGGACCUAGUGUGAGCCCUGUUUAGAUUCAUCCCACAGAUCUUGCCCUGACCUCUGCGAUCCUGUGAAAUUGGAGGCUCAGAGAGAUGGAAUCUCAUUCCCAUCCACUUCCUAGGCAGCUUUGCCCCCAAAGCAGGACCAAAUUCUCAUGACAGAGAAAAAACUCAGUUCCCAAUGUAGUGAAUGCUGAAUUUGACCAAAUUCUAGAAGAAAAAUAACACCAAUAGUCUCCAAACUAUUCCAUAAUGUAGAAGUGCAAGGUACUGGACUGCACUCCAUCUCCAAAUCCACUGGGACCCUGAUUCAAACGCUGACCAGGAUAGAACGAAAAACAACUAUGAGUGGAACAAUGUGUAUUGAAUGCCAUUUGCUUGAUCAGGGAAAGUGAAUGUUGGCAGAUUUAGGGCACCAGACAGUGAGAAUAAUUUGAAGGUACAAAGAGGACGUGAGCUUUCGGGAGAUCUCUGUUGUCCUUAUUAACUGUGGUCAAUGCUGAGCCCAUGCUAUCAGGAAGCUCCAUGGGAAAAAUGUUCAUUGACUGCUCUGCCUAUAGCUCUGAAUCUAUGAGCAAGCAAAAGAUGACCACCUGCUAGAACAUUACAUGUAGUAGGUAAGUGCUACACCCAACAGACAUGGGUAACUGAAUGACUACCUUAGAGCUCAAAUUUUGUUUCAAAGUUCAGGAAAUUUGAAUGAAAUGACAUGCUUCAAUCUUUUACACUUUGACAAAAUCAGGACAUUUCUCAUGGUGCAAAGGCAUCAGGUACAAAAAGAGAGGCUUCUGAUGGAUGACACCAGAGAAGUCCACUAAGAAGAUAAAAUAAUGGAAACUGCUUUAAACCCUGAUACUCCCCAGAACCCAACAGACUUCCACUCCCCUCAGCUGGGCCUCAGCCAGCCCUGCCUCAACUCCAUGGGGCAGCUGGGUAUCCUAUUGCCUCCAACAUAGAUAGGAUAGUGUGUCUGGCAUGCUCUGACCCUUGAAGGCGUGUUAUGGCACUCAAUUUGGACAGAACACCCACCGCAGUGUGGCAAGGCCAUCCCUGCUAAGACAACAGCCCAUGGGAGCAAUCCUAAGGUCAGCCACUUUCUGUCUCACAACCUGUAUCCACUCUCUUACUCUGGUCUGCCACAUAAAAAGAAUAUGAACUUUCUUAACCAUCACAAACCUAAGGAAUGAGGGAACCCUUUUGGAGCAUCUUUGCCUCCUUCUGGGCCAUGUAUAUCUCACAAACUUCAGACCAGAGUCAUCUCUGCUUUAAUAAGCAUAAUGGAGGCUCUCAUUCUUCACCAGACUGACAACCCAAAUACUCCCCAAUCCAGCAGGAGCUUCCCACAAGACUCAAGCCUAACCAGACAGUGACUGUUACAGGCACAGCAGGAAAGUCCCAGGAGCAGGCUCUCCUGCAUCCCUUGAAUGCCACAUAGGAGAACUGUAUUGCACUCACCACUGUCUCCAUACCCCACAACACCUCAUUCCACUCCUGGGCAUGUUGUUCUGCUCAUAGUUGUUUUCAUUCUAUCUUGGUCAGUGUUUGAAUGAGAGUUUCACUGGACUUGGAGAUGGAGUGUAGUCAAGUAUCUUGUACUUAUACACUAUGGAAUAGUUCAGGGAGCACUGUUGUUAUUGUUUCUUCUAGAAUUUGGUCAAAUUCAGCAUUGAGUACAUUGGGAACUGAGCUUUUCUCUGUCAUAAGUAUUUGGUCCUGCUGCAAUCUCCAUACUUGUUACUCAUAUUAUUUGAAAGUUUAUAUCUUCUUGAUUCAAUUUAGGUCCCUAAAUUUGCCUGUUUCUCCUAAAUUUUCUGACAUACUGGAAUAUUAUUGCUCAAAAUAUGCUCUAAUGACCCGUUGAAUUUCCUUGGAAUUUGUCAUAAGAACUCCAUUUUCAAGUCUCAUUUUAUUGAUAUGGGUCUAAUCUCUUUAUUGUUAACUUAUUUAGAGGUUUACCAACUUUGAUUUAUGCUUGCAAUGAAGUACUGUUUGGUCUCUUGAAAUUUGGUGGUGCUCCUCUGUUUUCUAUUUCAUUUAUUUCUGCCCUGAACUUCAUUAUUUUGUUCCUUCUACUGAUUUAAUGCUUGGUUUGUUUUUGUAUUUCUUAGACAUAAUCAGACAAUUUACUUGAAGUCACUUUCUUUUACCUCCUAGGUACAGGUUCCUGCAAACUUUCCUCUUUGUAGUGUUAUUUCUGGAUCCCACAGGUCCUGAUAGAUUGUGAUUCCUUAUUCUUCUGAUUCCAGUGAUUUUUAAAUUGUUUGAUGGUGUGUUGCAAAAUCUUCAAGCAUUUUUGAGGUUUCCUUUCUUCCUUCUUCCUUCUUUCCUUCCUUCCUUCCUUCCUUCCUUCCUUCCUUCCUUUCUUUCUUUCUUUCUUUCUUUCUUUCUUUCUUUCUUUCUUUCUUUCUUUCUUUCGUGGUGCUGGGUUUUUUGAGGUUUCUGUAAGUUCUCCUGCUCUUGAAAUUAUUUUCACUGUCUUGGAAAAAGAAGUUAGCCUUUCAAUUCCAACUCUUUUCUGUAGUUAGUGCUCUGCAGAAAAGUUCUUAGCUCUUCCCUUUUUUUAAUGUUCAGCUUUACAACUUGGUACAAUUCCUCUCUUUAAGCACCAGUGCACUGUAGAGAUGACAUUAUGAGUUUGAAAAGUGUGCUCAUCAGGUCACUAUCAGGAACCUGUUUCAUCUACCACAUUAACUUUUUUUGGAACAUUUUUGUGACCAGGGCUGUGAAACUCACCUGAAAUCUAUAUCCUCCAGGGGCUGCUGAAGGAUCUUGGCAUUUUCAAAGAUGGUUUCUAUGUCUGAGAGGCACAAAGUCAGGCCCAGGGAAUGAAGCAUUAUGUUAAGCCAGAUUGGCCAGAUAUUUCAGCAUGUAAAAGUGAGUUGAAGGGAAGGUUGGAAAAUGAGGCAAAAGAAAUAUCUGGGCCAAACAUUGGUGCAGGGCAGCAGGAACUGCAGUGGGGCUUGGCUGGUGCAGUCGGUGCCCAGAACAGGGAUGCUCACUUGCUAGCUUGCUCCUCCCCACCACACACACACACACACACACACACACACACACACACACUCACACAUUGAGUGACUCACUCCUUCCUGCCCUCAUUAGGGAGCACAGCUACCAUCCACCUCUUGUUAGAGGUCAUACUUCACAGGUUCCAGCUGUCACCUGUAUUAGCUUGCUAUGAAUGAAGGGGCAGCCCCCAAAGUCUGCACAUUGUUUCUAAACUCAAUCAUCACAUAACCCAACCCAGCUGCAUUAGAUGCUCCACUCCCCUCAGAUGUCAAUAGCCGCCACUUCAUGUGGCUGGUAGGGCCCGAGGACAUAUCCCUGACUGGGCAAUAUAUCAAGUGAUAAUGUAUUUGAGGUGUCCCUGGAGGAGCCGGGCUGGAGGGCAUUGCCCCCGGCGCCGCACUAUGCUGGGUGAUCAUUACGACCUCACCCUCUGUCUCUCCAGGGACCACCCGACCUCGCGGGAAGCCUGAUUGCCUGCAGCUGGAGGUGGGUAUCCAAGUGGGCAGCCUGCCCAAUGCGGCCAAACUUGGACUGCGCCUCCUAGAGGCCCUGGAGUGUAGUGCAGGCAGGCAGGCUUUGAGGGGAGUGUUGGGCAGGUGGUGUGUUUGUGUUGGCGGGGGUGGUCCUGGGCCCUGGAAGGAACCUGAUUGCCCGUAUGCAAGAUGGGCCAUGUCCUCAACAGACUCUCACUCCACUUCCAGUGGGUGAAGAUGUUGGCAUCACCUUUUUUGACAAUAAUAUGCCAGUGGGGCUUGGUCCAUUUGUCUUCCCUUGUAUCAUCACAGUUGAGCUGGUGUUUGCCCUGAAUACUUGUCUGAAGAGGCCAGGAUCAGAAGAGUGUCUGGUUGCUUGGGGGAAUGGUGACAUAACAGUGCUGUCAGUCCUCUUGUUGGUGAUAUUAGGAGAGUGGCAAGGAUGUCACAGAAGUCACUAAUUGGAACCCAUGGUGCCCAAGGCCCAGAAACACCAACUGGGGACAGAAAGGAAGUGCAAUCUCCUACAAGAGCCUGGAGUCUCCAUGCCUAGAAUCCCAAGUUCCUGAAUGCCAGCCUGUUCCAUUUUGAAAGUCUAUGGUGAAACUUGCUUUGUGGUCAUUUCACAGGAGCAUUGUUAACCAAGUUAGGUAUUUCACUGAGAAGCAUCAAAACAAGAGUUACAAGAUUUUGAUCAUAAGAUAAUAGCAGGAAGUUCAACAGAAGUAACUUGCUGGUAUCUAAUCUCAGGGCCAUGAUUCCUGAAAGGAACUUCUAUAAAAAGGACCAUCAGGAGGGCUGAAAAUUUCAUGAGUCUCCCCCCUCUCCCCCAGCACAUAUUGAACCUAGCAGCAUGUAUCCACUGAGCCAUAUCCUGUGUCCUUUGUAUAUUUAUAUUUUCAGACAAGAUCCAGCUAAGUUGCUUAGGGCCUCCCUAAUUUGUUGAGGCUGGCUUUGAACAUGAGAGCCACCUGCCUCAGCCUCCCCAGUCCUGAGAUGACAGGCCUGAGCUAGCACCUCCUGCCCUGGGUCUUUAAUUUUGGCCACAUGUCUGCUGGUUAGUAUUUUUGUUAAGGAACAUUAAGGAGGAGGGAGAGUGGGUCAUAAAAAUUUCUUGUUGUUGUAAAGGCUGGGGGUUUGGGUUUGAAUUAACCCAACAUGUUGCUAAAUAAUAAUGAUCUGAGAAUUUAAUGUAUUUGAGGUGUCCCUGCCUCUCCUUGCACCCUAGGCCAUGGUAGAUCACUGAGAAUUUUUUAUGGUCAGAGUUCAGCCACAAUCCUUUUCUUGCUUACAAAAUUGGGAUCAAUCACUCUCAUGACACACCAGAACACUGAAAUUCUGGACAGGCAACUCAAGCUUCUGGAAGUAUUGCUUUCAAAUAUGAAAGUAAUAAUCAUUAGAAAGUGAUUUUUUCUGUCUUUAGAAAGUUAUGGUUGCCCUGCAAAGCUCUCCACAGAGGUCAGACUGGAAGGGGAUCAAUUAAGCAUUUAAAACAUUCACAGCAUUAUGCCAACACUUCCUCUAUGCAGUUGGAAAAUAUUUCCUUAACUCCACAUUAACCCUGUGGCUACAAUUAGUCCCCCCUCAUGUGCUCACUCCUAGUGACCUCUCACCUAUGUCUGUUUCUCUGGAUUUCCCAAUUUUUUAUAUUUCGCAUAAAUGGAGUCAUGCAAUAGGUGACCUUGUGUGACUGCUUUAUUUCAUUUACAGAAUGUUUUCAAGGUUUAUCUUGUCAUAGGACACAUUAGUACUUCCUUCAUAUUCAAGGAUGAGUAAUAUUACAUUGUUUGGAUAUAUCACACUGGUUUAUUUGCUUUGGGACUUUUGAGUUAUUUCCACUUUUUACAGUGAACAUUUGUGAAAAAGAAUUUUUUUUGGGGGGGAUAGUUCCUAUAUUUGAUUAUUUGGGAUACAUAACAAGGAAUGGAAUAUCUGGGUUAUUUGAUAAUUUUUUACUUAACUUUUGAUGGACUUCUAGACUUCCUUACUGUUUGUGCAGAAAUUGAUAAUGUGUUUAAAUGGCACAUGAUGCCUUCUGAAGUCUUCUGGCUAGUGUUGUUUCAGGUCUUAUAUGAGUGAAAGCACUUCUAGCCUUGAAAUGUGCCCUAACUGUUCAGCAAUGAAACUGUGGAUGGAUUGUAGAGGAGAGUUGGUGCAGCAUAGGACAGGGAUAGAAACCAAGAAUCAUCCACCUAUCCAUUCACUAUUUCAUUCAUUCACUAACUCAUUCAGAAAAUAUCUACCAUUCACGUACCCUGUGCCAGUCUGUGUGCUGGACGUAGGAAGAGGUACAUACGAUAAACAUUAUUCCUCAAGAGGCUGAUUUUGUGGGUAGUAAAAACAGACCUAUAAAAUAACAAUCAAGUGCUGGGGAUAUAGAUCAGUUGGUAGAGUGCUUGCCUUGCAUGCACAAGGCCCUGGGUUCCAUUCCCAGCACCACAAAAAAUAAAUAAAUAAAAAUAAGGCCCUCAACCUGGAAUCCCAGUUCCUCAGGAGGCUGAGGCAGAAGGAUAACAAAAAUAAUUUCUCAGAAGGUAAAGAAAGGAGCAGUAAGGCUGGAGUUGUGGUUCAGUGGUAUAGCACUCACCUAGCGUGUGUGGGGUCCUGGGUUCAAGCCUCAGCACCAUGUAAUAAUAAAUAAAUAAAUAAAAUAAUAAGAUUGAGCCUGAAGAGAUCAAGUGAAUUUCCCGGUGUUAUUCAGUGAAUGAAAUACCAUCAAGGUUACAAGAAUUAGGGACUGGGUUAUUUUCUUUGCUCCUUCUCCUCCUUUUGUGGGGCAUCAGGGUGAGGAUUCUAGAAUACCUGGAAGGAUCUGCCUCUGCUGGUUGGCUGAUCAUCAUUCCAAAAUCUUAAUGCCCAUGCUGAAUGGGAACUGGAGCAGAGGCUAAUUCAUUAGGGAGUUGGGGUUCUGAUCAAGGUGCUGGUUUCCAGGAAGAAGAGUGGAGGGGAGGAGAAAAGAAUUAAGAGCAGGAGGCCCAUGUCUGUCUCAACUCACACAUUGAAUACACUCACUGUGCUGCCCAUUGUUCAGAGAAGGAACAAGUGGGGUGCACACUCUGCUUUUGUUGUUGUCACAACUUAUGCUGUACCAUUGUAACAAUCCUCAAAGGACAAUUCUGAAAAGACCCCUGCUCCCUGCCAUGCCAAUGCCCCUGUGAAGCAUUAAACAAUAUUUUGCCCUUAAAAUGAUUCUCAUUCAGACACAACCUCCUUGCACAAGAAGACAGGAUGGAUGUGGGGUUGCCUCACAUUGGAGCCUGUGACACUGCUGACUCACAGGGAAAGCACAGGAGAGAUACCAAAGAUGUAUUAGGGAAUGUGGAAGUAGAGUUCAUUACCACUAUCUGAUGUAAUUGACUGGUGGCCACAAACUUGCAAGGACUCACACAGCACAGGGAAAUGCUUAGGGGUGAAGGCUGUGGGAACAGGAGGAUGGGCUUUGAGUGUGGACUCCACACAGGAGCCACUGACCUUCAAUUCUUCAGCUUCCUCAGUUUUGUUAGCUAUAAAUUGAGAUAUAGAGUGCUACUCUUAGGGUUGGUGUUGCUUAUUCGCAAUGGUCUAUAGAAAUGCUUGCAAUUUUUUUUAAAAGAAAUAAAAAAGAAAACAUACAUGUAAAGGUGGAGAACAACCAUCCUAAUCCAAUAUAGACAUUUUCUGGUUGGGUAUUAUGGCACAGAGAGGUUGAAUGACUCGUAUGUGGCCACACAGGAAGGAGUAAGGUGGUUUAAGACAAAGGGUUGCUUUAGAGCCAUUUCUAAAAGAUCUUGGGUUUUUUGUUUGUUUGUUUGUUUGUUUUUUUGUUUUGUUUUGUUUUUGUUUUUGUUUUUCCGUAGUAAAACAGAGUUUUCCGGAAGAUAUACUCAUGAAAGCUGAGCUGGUCCAUGAACAGCCUGACUCAGGCUGGGGCAUUAUUACUCCUGUUGCAUGGUGAAGACUGUAGGGACUCUUAUGACCCACUUGAGUGUCAGCCCUGUGUGGGAUACUUGACCAUCACUGUCUUAUCUCAUUUCAUCUUCACAGCACCCUCUCCUAUAUUCCUGCUAUGUGUUUUUUUUCUGAUUCCCUUGUGCCUAGAACACAGUAGGUCCUCAGCAAAUAUCAGUUGGCAGAACAUUCCAGAAUCCAGGAGCCCAGGGUCCAGGACCGACACUGAGGCCCAAGGGGAGAGUGGAGUCCAGAGUUGUGCAGCUGCUCUUAGGUCUGUUCAACUCUAGAGAAGAUUUUAGUGAAACCCCUCAGAUCAGCAGUUCAGACCCCAGGCCUAGGCAACACUGGGAUUUUCCUCCCAUUGGGCAAGAGCUUAAGCAGACAGGGAAAGGACCUCAGGGUAGACAGGUUUUGACCCAAAGCAGUGAAUACAAAGUAAAAUUUUCAUAAUCUGCUUGAAUCAAAUAUAUGAAAUACAUUUACCAAGAGCUUUGUAAUGUUUUGAACAACUAAUAAUAAAAAAAUAAUAAAAUAAAAAAUUUCUCCUCUUUGGUUUGUCUGGGGCAAGCACAUUCUAGGAUGCAUAGUUUGUGAGUCUCUGGCUCUGGGGCCUGCUUGGAUGGGUUUAUAGAGAAGCCCAAGAGACCACCUCUGGAUUUUUUUGCUCCAGAGCCUUGAGGACAUGCUUCUGUGUUAUUCUCUUUCUUCUUCUCUGUGGAGGGAUGUGCAGGCCAAGCAGGAGUCCUGAGAAACUGUCAGAACAGGAAAUGUCUGUAGGGGAGCAAGGGAUAGGAGGGGACAACUGUUAGUCAGAGGAAGAAAUGGCCUUUGGAGGGAAAAACAAUGUUUAUGACAUUCAGAGUGUAAACUCAUCUGCUAUUUUUCCUCCACCCAUACCUCAGUUCACCAAUUCAGACACAUACCACUCCCCACACCCUUAUCCAUCCAUCUACCUACCCAACCACUAUCCCCUCACCUGUCCUCCUAUCCAUCCCUAGAUCCACCCUUUCAUUUCCAUCCACCAAUCUUCCCAGCCAUAUACCCACUUCUCAUUCACUCAUCCACCCAUGCAUCCAUGUGUCUGUCUAUCUGCCCAUCUAUCCAUCCAUAAGUCUAUCCAUCUGUUCAUCAAUUCAUUCAUCCAUCAGUCCAUCUGCCCAUCCAUCCUUCCAUCUACCCAUCCAUCCACCCAUCCACUCAUUCACCCAUCCUUCCUUCCAUCCAUCAGUUUAUACAUCCAUCAAUCUCUCCAUCCAUUCAUCAAUCCAUCCUUCUAUUCAUCCUUGUGACCAUCAGUCCAUUCAUCCAUCUGUCCAUCUAUUCAUCAAUCCAUCCACUCAUCCAUCCAUCCAUCCAUCAUCCUUUUUCCUUCCAUCAAUCUGUCUAUCCAUCCAUCCAUCCAUCCAUCCAUCCAUCCAUCCAUAGAUAAAUCCAUCCUUCCAUCCAUCAGUUCAUCUAUCCAUCCAUCAAUCCAUCCAUCCACUGAUCCUUUCUUCCUUCCACCCAUCAUUCUAUCCAAUCAUCCAACCAUCCUUCUAUCCAUAAAUUCGUGCAUCUAUCCAUCAGCCAUCUGUCCAUUCACCCUUUCAUUCAUCCAGUCAUCCAAUUUCCCAUUAAGUCAUUCACCUUCUUUCCUCCCAUUCAUCCACCCACCAUGUCAUACCCCAUCCAUUCUUCCAGUACACCCCAGGGGUUUGCCAAUAUGACCACUGGCCUGGCUUUUUCAUUUUACAGAUGAGUGAUCCUCUAUCACAGGAGAAAUGACAGAGAACUCAGCUUUUGAAGGCAGAGUAGCCAGGUUCACAUUCAGGAUCUCCCAUUGGCUGGCUAGCCUCAGGUGGUGACAAAUGCCUCUGAGCUUUUCAUGCUCUUCAUAAGAAUGAUUCGUCUCAGUACCUGUGGUGAGGAGGAAAUGACAGGCUAUUAUACAGUGCUCAUUACUGUGGUAUGGCCUGAGGCAUCAUCUGCUGAGUACCUACUGUAUGCCAAGGGUGAUUUGCAUGUGCUCCCCUAGGUCUGAUGGGACUAUCCCCAUUCUACAGAGGAAGAUAUUGAGUCUCUGAGAGGUCAAGUGAAGGGACAGAGCCCAGGCCCCAAACCAGAGUAGUGGGACUCCAAAUUCCACUUUUCUACCACUUUGCCACUUUGAUUCUGGGUUCUGACCUACCACAAGCACACAAUGGGGCCCCAGGAUACUCCAAACCUUAGUCUCCCCAUAUGCACUAAGACUGCAUGGUUUCUACAGCUGCAGGCAGAAAAAGAGAGGAGAACAAAAGCCAGGGGUCACCACUGCCCUUUGUGAGCCCUGAUCAUUUACUCAUUCAACAAAUACAAUAUGCCCUGACACCUACUACUACAUGCCUGCCUGGAAUGCAGCAGUGUGAACACAGAGGUGACUGAGAGGGACAAAGAUUUCCAUUCUCUGAGGAGGAAAUUCAAUAGCCAAGUCCACAAAUUUGUGAACAACUUAUUUUCAUAGAUAGGAUGGUGAAAACACUUCUAUGGAGAAGUCCUUAGCAGGUGAGAAUGGUGUGCCUGUACAGGAGGGAGGAGGGGGCAGCACUCCAGGAGGACAUACUGCUUGAUCCCAGCACUAACCCAACCAUGAGAUGAGUCUUCCUGCCAAGGUCUGCAGGGGACAGAGUGCCAGGCAAAGGGAGCAACAAGUUCCAAGGCCUGGUGAUGGAAUCAGCCUGCUGGGGACAUGAAAUUGGGGUCAGGGACCUUGCCAUCAUCUGCUGGGGACAUCUUCACAUGGCUUCUGUCACAUCACAUUGAUUCCAUUAAUUAAUUACAAUGACAUCUUUUCUUCUAUCUGGGAGAGCCAGAGCCUGCUGACUCCUUCUUAUAAUUCUUUUUCAUUCUUACAAUCUGCUUUAAAACCUAUUCCCACAUCCCAAGGCCUCUGUGAACCAGGUAUAUUUCUCCAAAUGCCAAAAAAUAAAUACAGUAAAUUCACAUGCUUUCAGGGAUAUUUAUGGACCAGUCUGUGAGGGAAAUGGGCUGGUUGCCUUGGAGGCCAAGCUGACGGAGCUUGCGAGGUAAUUAGUUGCUGAGUUAUGGGGCCACUUGAAGCCUAAUUACCGAGAGAUCUGAGGUGCUUGCCUCAUUAGGGCCCAGAUUUCCAUGGCACUGCAAAGACUCAUUGGGUAAGCAUCCUCUGUGAGGUACAGACUGGAGGGAGGCUGCUGGGUCUCUGAGGGGACUUGGAGGUAAUGGCCAGAGGGUCAGUGAGCAUGGGGUAUGCUGGGUUGAAGGCUGUGCAGGGUGACAUUGCCUCCUCUAGGACAUCCAAUUCUUUCCUUCCUUCCUUCCUUCCUUCCUUCCUUCCUUCCUUCCUUCCUUCCUUCCUUCCCUCCUUCCUUGUUUUCUUUCUUUCUUUCUUCCUUCCUCCCUCCCUCCCUUUCUUCCUUUCUUCCUUCCUUCUCCCUCUCUCCCUCCCUCUCUUUCAUUUUGGUUCUGGAGAUUGAACCCAGGUGUGCUUAACCUCCUUCUCACCUCCCUAGUUAUAUUUAUUUAUUUAUCUAUCUAUUUAGAGACAGGGUUUCAGUAAGUUGCUUAGCCUCACUAAAUUGCUGAGGCUGGACAUGAACUUGUCAUCUCCUUGCCUUAGCUGCCUAAGCAGUUGGGACUACAGGCAUGCACCACCAUGCCUGGUGGCUCAUUUAGUAUUUCUUUGGUGGAUCCUGCAGCACUUUCUGAGGAUCUGGUUCUAUCUUGUUCCUCUGGCUGGAGAUUGUCUCAUUUAUAAAUGUUCCUUAGCAUAUGAUGGGGUCAUGUCCCCAUCAACCCAUUGUAAAUCAAAAAUCACACUUUUGGAAAAUGCAUGAAGAUCCAGCAGCACAGGUGCUCUAGGGAGUUGCCUGCCUCCCCACAUGAUCCUGGGGCUUUCUGGCAGCAGCAGCUCACCACUGCUACCCUGCCUCAUGGCAUGGCAUGGUACUGCAUGUCACCAGCCAAGGAAAAGAUCACAACUCAAAGUUGUCAGUACAGUUCUACUCAAUGCCUGUCACUUUUACACCAUUAUAAAGUCAAAAGAUCUAAGUUGGAUCCUUGAAAUUUAGGGCCAUGUGUUUACAUAUUUGUUCAUAAGUUUCCCCUCCUAUUUGUUUCACUCAUCCAUAUAUCCCUCUGUUUAUUCCACAAGGAGAUCUGGAACACUGAGCUGUGUCAGGGUUUGACAUAAAGGUUCAGGAGAUGAAGCUCUCUUCAUAGAGAGAGUGCUUGAUAAAUAGUAGGUACACAAUAUAUUUGUUGCAAUAACUCAAGAUCUCAAUAAGACUAUGUCCUGCUUAUCACUCACAUUUCAGGCUCUACAGGUGUGUACUGUGCACAUGGAUGUGUGUGUGGGUACAUGUAUAUGUACACAUGCAUGUGUGCUUGUGUGUGUGUGUGUGUGUGUGUGUGUGUGUGUGUGCAUGCUCUUGCAUGCACCCAAACUGAGGAUCUCCCAUGCAUCAAUAAGAGAGAUGCUCAGGAAAGAAAAUGUCCCAUGCAUGCUAUCAAACCUGUGGCCAGAACAGCUUUCACAGCAUGGAACAGUGACUGGAAUAUAAUAAGUGCUCAGUAAAUAAUUUGGGGUAUGACACAUAAAUGUGCUUUUACAGUGCAGGAGCUUUCACAUAGCUAGGACUAAAUGGAUGCUCAGCUAAAUGCGGGGACAAGAAGACCACAACAUGUGCUGCAACAGGAAAAGCCUUACCAGGCAGGUGGGGUCAAUGUGCAGCAGCAAGGUGGAGUUGCCCAUGAGGGACCUAGUGGUCAAGGGAUCUGCCUGGGUCAUGUUCUAAGAGGUCCUGGCUCUUGAACUUCAUGAGGGAGCAUGAAUAGAAGUCUGACAGCUGGUUCACAUGGGGAAGGGUCCAGCAGAGAGAACCAUCCCAUCAUUUAGGCAUAAUUAAUGGUGCUCAAGGUAAAUGUAGCUAGAUCGCUGAAGGGGACCAGGGCUGAGACAGGGACUCAAUCCCAAGAUUGCAUAACCUUGAAUGUCAGACUAGUAAUUAAGAUUUAUACCAGGGGCCCUGGAGAGAUGCUGCAAGACUCCCCUGUGCAAGUUAAGGACACAGUUGUAUGGGAAUUCCAGAGCAAUCUCUUCCUGAUUUUUGGAGAUGGUAUGGAAUAUGAUCAGUUGGCAGGCCAGGGAGGAGAUAGCAAGGGCUGAUCACAGCUAAGGACCCUGAGGACCCAGGAGCUGGGCUACCAAUGAGACCCCUGCAUGGCCAGAUUAUAUUUAGGAAGAUAAAACUUUCCUAACUCUAAAACCACAGGACUCAAGGACAGCCCCGUCCACCUGCUUCCAAACUGAACUAGCCAGAUUUUUUAAAAAUGGCAAUAGCAAUGUCUUUCCUUCUCUCUUCAAGGUGGUUAAUUAUCUUAAUUAUUUUUAUUAUCUUUUAAGAUCCUAAAUUGCUUAUUUCUGCUUCUCCUGCCAAAGGAGACCAAAAUCUGUUUUCUUGUGGUUGUUUUUUUGGUAUACGGAAUUGGACUCAUGAGUGCUCAACCACUAAGUCACACUCCCAGUCCUAUUUUGUAUUUUAUUUAGAGACAUAGUCUCACUGAGUUGCUGAGUGAAUCACUGUUGCUGAGGCUGACUUUCAACUUGUGAUCCUCCUACCUCAGUCUUCUGAGCCACUGUGAUUACAGGCGUGCACCAUCUCAACCAGAAGGCAACCACAAUCUUUUAUUCAUUACUGUGAAGUGAAGAUCACCAGAUGUAUAUUUUUUUCUGGUAAAAUUUAAAGGAAUUUAGAUUUAUACCCAAAUUCUUGUGAUCUUAAUUGUGUCAACAAGUGGAAAUUAAGUCAAGUGAGAUGUUGAUUGGCUGUGGGGGACACAGAGAUAAAUGCUCCAAAUCUGAAAAAUUCUUUUAUUUUUUUCUUGCUUCCUUUUCUCUUCUCUGAAUUCUUUUUUAAUUUUGGUCUGGGUAUUGACCCCAGGGGUUAUUAACCACAAUACACAUCACCAGCUCUUUAUAAAAAUGUUUCAUUUAGAGACAGGAAUAGUUAGGACCUCAGUAAGUUGCAGAAGCUUGCUUUGAACUCGUGAUCCUCUGCCUCAGUCUCCUGAACCUCUGUGAUUGCAGGUAUGCACCACGGUGCCUGGCUUCUCUGCAUUCUUUGUGUGAUGCAGGAAAGAACGUUUUAUUCCAGCUAAUCUUCACUUCAACUUGAGAGAGAAUUACAGGUCUGGAAAACUGUCCCAUUUACCCCAACAAAUAGAAAAGUGAUUUGGUUUGAUAUAAAUCCAUUCAUGGGGAACAUUUUCAGGUAAAGGGGGAAAAAUCAGCAGGAACCUGAAUCUUGGGAUAUUUGAAGCCAUGGGAUUUGGGUUCAGGCAGUGAAAGAUGCUCACAGGUUGAGCUGGAGGACAUGGUGUGUGGAAGGCCUGGGUGCCAAGGAGUGAUUUCUUGAGGAAAGUGGGCAGCCUGUGGGUAAGAUCUAGGUUUAGCAGAGAUGGCUCAAGGUUGGUGAGGCUGGAACAAGGCCAUGGUACUAUCCUGAAGCUUCUUGGGCCAAAUGUGUAGUGGUGUUUGAAGACAAUGUAGCUUUUAGAAAGGGGAUUGUUGCCAGAGCAUCCAUCUAUGGAGCUUACCUGGAAGCUGAGGCACAAGAUCCAAGUCAACUUAGUUUCAAAUGCUGGCUCUAACAAGUUUGAGUUUUGUGACUAAGGCACACACCAUAAGGUUCAGUGCUUUGUGGGAAGCCAUCCAUGAAAUGCAUGAAGAUCUUAUCUCAGCAUGGAAGCCAGGGAGAGAAAGGCCCGGCAUUGAGAACUUUCCAUGGCUCUCCCACAGCAAUAGAUUGCCCAAUCCACAUGAUCUUUCCUUCUGCUCUGCUAGGAAGGUUCCUCAGAGUAGCUCCAGUCAUGUGCAUAACCCACUAGAAACUGAACAACCGACCUUUAACCUUUUUUUGGAGAAUAUUCUAUAGAAUCUAUUUGGUAUAUCCUGAUAUAAAUGAAGCAGGCAUGGGCUCUAUUUAAUCCAGAAGCUUGAUCCACCUGAUUGCUUGCCCUUCUGGCCUCUGCCUUUGAAACUAUUUUCUGUGUUCUGUUUUUAUUGCUGUUUUAUUUCCAUUAGCCUUUAUUUCUUAGCCAGCCCAUUCCACCAAGGGGAACCCCAUUUCCACCACCUGAGCAGGACAUGGGUGGUAAUGCUUCAUUUCUCUACACUCUACAAUGGACAUGGUAAUCAUAGUACUCCCCUCUUGGAGCCUUUGUGAGGGAAAAAUAAAAUGAUGGCAGGUAUAUGAUGCUAUGAGAUCCCCAAUGUGGUGGGAAAAUAAAGCAGUUUCCUACUAAAAGUCACACAGCUUGCUGAAUGGAGACAAUGUCUUCAUCCCAGUGCUCCUUCUGAUUCUGUUUGGGAUCUAGGGGGAUCUAGGGAUCUGCACACUAAGGCUGGGUUGCUCAAGAUUCCCUGGGAAGAAGUGUGAGGGAGAACAAGAUGAACAGGGAAAGGUGUGAGUGUGUGUGUGUGUGUGUGUGUAUUGGCAGGGGAGGGCCCUCAUGCUUACUGAAAGGCAGGGAAAUUGUCUGUAAUUUUCUUUCCUGAAAAGCACCUGGGGAGGUGAAAGAAGGUGGCAUUAGGGCAGGACAGGUAAUCGAUUUUCAUCUGGGUGCAGACAGAAACGUCAAGCACAGCAGUGUUUGGAGAUGGAUCUUUGAGUUUUCCUGGGUCAGUGAGACUGCAGCCCAUGUUCCCACAGCAACACUCACCCAGCCUUGGCCUUCUCUGUUUCUGUACCUUUCUGUCUGCCUGUCCCCUUUCUUUCACCCCCCCACCCCCCCUCCCCCACAGAGCUCUCCUUGACUCCCUGCACCUUCCUCUCCCUGCAAACUCCUCCCUUCCUCUCUUUCCUUGGACCAGAAAAACACUGCAUUUGUAUCUCCAGGGGAGUGGGCAGCUGCCCAGUCUGGAGAUGGGAGGGAGCAGGGAGAGGGGAGCCUAGGCUGACAGGCUGUCUUAGAAGAGGAUUGGCAGGGGGGCAUCCUCCAGACCACAUAGCCUUCCAGUAAGAGCCCUGGAGGUUCCACUUGAAGACCUGCUUUCUGCGCAUGGACUCUGGGUGACUGGGGUGUAGGCAUGUGUGUAUUUGUGCAUAUGUGUCUCAUUAAAUGAUCUUAUUAAAAAUAAUUUUAGUUGCUUCUAGAAAAUUUAAGAAGUCACCAUGCUUGUCUUGUACUCUUUCCUCCUGGACAGGGCAGCUCUUGAAUUUGAAAAUUUGCAUCCUGGUCACCAAGAAAGUAUUUCUCCAGCCUUAGCCUUUUGAUUUGUAGUUGUUAUUAUACUCUGGUCUUUUUUUACUGUAGAAAGGAAAGAAUAUUCUAUUCUACUAAAAUGAAUGAUGUUAAAGUGGUAAGAUUAAUAAAUUUUUGCCACUAAUAUCAGUUUCAAUGUGCCCCAUCCUGGGACACACUCCACCUGUGUACUUAUUGAAGGCCAGACAAUGACAGUAAUAUCUAGCUGGAUUGGAAGUCAUUUUUAGAUUUUGAGGUAGGUCUUCAGAUUCUUCCCCUUGCUGCUGGCUGGAAGUUCACCUUCAGAGAUUUGACUGGUUAAGAUCCCCAAUGGAGCAAAGCAUGCCUCUUGGCACCCAAUGCUGGGGAAUCUUUGCUAGGAUUGCUCUAGUAGCCCCAGAAAUCAUAAGGGGUGGGUCCAGGGCUUGAACGACACUUGACCAGGCAGAAAGAUGAUAUGUAUAUCUACAAAUAUGCUAGGCAUAUCCUAUAUGUGCCAGACUGGACAGACAAACACUGACUCUGUCCUCAGGAGUCAGUGCCUGAAAAACCACAUGCUCUAAGUCAACCUGUGCUGGUUGGUUACAGGUAUUGUCUCAUUUGAUUGUCAGCCCAUUUCAUAGAAGAAGAGCCUGAAGUCAGAAAGGGGCAAAUCUUUGCCCAGGGCAUGUACACACUAGCUGGGGCUCCAAUCGUUAUUUAUAUGGUUCCAGUCAUGUAAGCCUUCCCUGAGGCUGCCUCUGGAAUGUUCUCUGUGAGGUGGGACCUGGAGAUGGUCCUGUUGCCCUUGAAUUCCUUCAGAUCUUCACAAUGUUUCCCUUCAUGAUGCUGUCUGAGUCCAUCGUCCCUGUUCUUAAUGGAAACCUUGGAGGACCAGUGCAUAUUUUUAGCUUUUGCCACACCAUGGGAUAAUGAGACUCAUAGGUUUACUUUCCACUGAGUAAAGUACUAGAACACUUUAAUUUUCCCCCAAAUGCUUUUGAGUUUCCCAGGAUAUGUAGGUGAGAGGAGAGAGGUUUAUCUGGCUUCUUACUCACCUGCCUCCCCAUCAGAUCCUCAGCCUCCCUGGGGAGGCACAGGGUUGCCCAGUGCACAUGGUCAGCCCCGUGUUGGAGCCAUGGACCUGAAUGCACCUUCUUCCUGCAUCCUGUGCAUGAGGCCUUUCACAAGAGACUUUAGUUGGCCAGGCCUCAAUUGCCCCUCCAUAUACGGGAACAAGGACCCCAGUUCUGUAGGACAUGGAGCACUCUAUUGAGGGACCAUGUGAAGUUUUGGAGGAGAAGGGGGCUUCCCUGUCCAUUUGGGCUUUGGUGUGACUGCAGUUCACUGAUAUGUGUAGGGGUCAAAGAUGGCUAGGGGAUAUUAUUAAUAGAUUCUGAGUUAUAAAUCCCAUAGGACAUCAACUUAACCCUUGGAUGAGGCCCCGAGUCUCCUACAUUCUGAAGAGGAAAAUCUCCCUGAGAACACUCUACCUAACUCUCUGCUUCCUUGUUUGGAAAAUGGGGGCAAUGCUCCAACCAACGCAUUACUGGUUCCAGUCAAUGGGAACUUCUAUAUUGUCCUCAGAUGCAGAUGGUCCUGUGGUUGAGUUGGUCAAGCUGGGGUGAAUUUUGCAAACUCAUUCCCUGGACUUGGCAUCUCUGAUGUGCCAGGCAAGGUGAUGGGCUGUGUGGGGGGAUUGUGGCUUCUACCUUUAGUGGACCCUCCUUAGGUGACUCUAAAGUCCAUACUGUGUGGCACUUGUCCUACCUCCACAGUCUCAGCCACACUGCCCCUUGGCUCCCCUGUGGAACUUUCUCAGCCUACUGGGGCCUCUACCAAUCAGAAAAGCUGAUUUAAUUAGUCUGGGGCAGGGACCAGCCAGCAGCACGUUUCAAAACUUCCCAGGUUGAGGUGCUCUCCACAGCAGUCUGAGUUGAGAAUCAACAGGCAGAAGAGCCAAGCACAUUCCAAAGCAGCUCAGUGGCAUGAAGUGAAGAAAUUGGGUCUUUGGUGGGAGAAUCUGGGGAACAAUCAGGACUGGCUUCCCAGAGGCAGUGAUGUUCUGCUCUGCCUAUAUGGGAAAAGCAUUCCAAGCAUAAGGAUCAGCAUGUGCAAAGUGUGCCAGUAGAUGUGCCUGGAUCAAGCUAGGAGAGGCAGGAGGGAGGGCAAUAGGCUGGAGAAGCAAGUUCACCAGCUCAGGAAAGAGGGAGAGUACAAGGCUACAGUGUAUGUAACUAUGACAUUGGAUGUACUCAGGUUAGAUUUUAGAGGUUCUGUUGGGGAGUCGCCCAUGGCAUCUUAGAAAGUCAUGGUGUGGCCAGUGUGCUUCCACCAGAAGCUGCCCCUAACCUGCAUCCUAGCCCCCAGAGAAAGCCCCAUCCUAUCUGAGAGCACAGGAGUACAUCAGACCUAGAAAGAAGAGGGAUCUGUACUCUGCCAUCUGUGUGAGGUCCCCUAUCCACAUUCGAGACUCAAAUCCUGCCCUCACCCAAAUGUAUCCAGACAUUUUGUAUCUGAAGAAGAGGACAGGAUCAACCCCAUGUAUUCAGAGUCCAUUGCCUGGUUUCUAAUUUCCCUAUUAAUUUCUUCUAAAUGUUUUUCAGGUUAUAUUUUCACUUCAAGACUAGUCCUCUUCUCAACAGACACUUUGCAAAAGUGGAAAUGUAAAUGGUUAACAAACACGUUGGGAGAAAGCCCAGCCAUGUGGAAAUCUGAGGAAAAAAAAAAAACUAAAGUACUGUUUUUAGGUCUUUUGGGUAUUGUUGAAGAGGAAUAGCUGGGUCAAAUGGUGGUUCCAUUCCCAGAUUUCCAAGGAAUCGCCAUACUGCUUUCCAAAUUGGCUGCACCAAUUUGCAGUCCUCGCCAGCACUUUUUGUUGUUUGACUUCAUAAUAGCUUCCAUUCUUACUGGAGUGAGAUGGUAUCUUAGAGUAGGGACACAGCCAUAUCAAUGUUCAUAGCAGCACAAUUCACAAUAGCUAGACUGUGGAGCCAACCUACAUGCCCUUCAAUAGAUGAAUAGAUAAAAAAUGUGGCAUUUAUACACAAUGGAAUAUUACUCAGCACAAAAAAAUUAACAAGAUCAUGGCAUUUGCAGGGAAAUGGAUGGCAUUAGAGUAGAUUAUGCUAAGUGAAGUUAGCCAAUCCUCCCAAAAACAAAUGCUGAAUGUCUUCUCUGAUAUAAUGUGGGUGACUCAAAAUGGGGUAGGGAGGAAGAGCAUGAGAGAAGAUUACCUCUAGAUAGGGAAGAGAUGUGAAAGGGAAAUGGAGGCAGAAGGGGAAAUGCAUGGAAGAAGGAAGGAGACCCUCAUCAUUAUACAAAAUAUAUGUAUGAUGAUGUGAUGGAAACAAAACAAAUUGCAUCACCUUAGAUUGGGUAGAGAGAAGUGAUGAGAGGGGAAGGGAGGGGAAGGGGGGAAUGGAAGGACAGCUGAAUAAAAUAGACAUUAUUAUUGCUGUGUGUAUAUACGUGACUGCAUGACCAAUGUGAUUCUGCAACCUGUGCACUCAGAAAAAUGAGAAAUUAUACCCCAUCUGAUUCAAAUGUAUGAUAUGUCAAGGUCAUUGUACUGUCAAGUGUAACUAAUUAAAACAAAUUUAAAAAAUAAAAAAAUAAAACAUUUCCAAGAAUAGAGGCUGCUAUACUGGGAAUUAGAAAGCCAAGGUUACUCCAACUUACCCCAAGUUUUGGAGUAAAUGGAUUACUAUAUGUGGGCUUCAGUUUUCACAUCUAUCUAGGGACUAUAUUAAAAAAAGCUUAAACAUACAAAAAUUAAUAAACAAACAAACAAACUACCAGUUUAAAACUUUAUGAACUUAAAAAAAAGAAAGAAAC
rnacentral:lncRNA from 1 species